GCCAACUCCAUAUAAGUGGAAGAUCAUGAGAAUUCAAACUCAAUUUAUAUCCAAAUAGUUUAAAAAUAGAAAUAGUUUCUCCUAGAGGCAAUCAUAUGACUCAUAUGCUUAAAGUGAGUGACGUAUAAUCCCCAAAAGAAUAUAAUGUCACCAGACCAUUACUUACAGUCCCUUCCAACAUUUUCAGUAAUGCCUGCUGAACACCUUCACCGGAAAC
rnacentral:lncRNA from 1 species